GCAACCCUAGUUCAGAGUGAAACUGUGUUCCUCUCAUACAUUGGUAGGUAAACUCAUGAACUCGAAUGUGAUAUCAACAAGUGUUUUUAAAUGUAGGAAGAUUUUUUUUCCCCCUCAGCUAAACGCUGCACGCCGGAGAUCCGGUGCAGUGCCAGAGAACUUCAAGCCCUGUCUUCUGUUUAUUCAGCUGCACCGAAAGGCAUUUCCUGGAUUUGUACUCUUGUUUGUACUUUCUUCUACACUGGAAGCUCCUGUCAAGUCAAAUUCCUUGUGUGUGUAAACAUACUUGGUAAUAAACCUCUUCUGAUUCUGUUUCUGAUAAUUCUGCAGCUAAAUCUUUACUGACAGGUUUAGACAGGGUGCAGGCUAAGGUCCUGUGGUUCUUUUGUGGAGCUUUCAGAAUGUCACCCUAUAGCCUCAAUACAAGUAGAAGUAGGAGAGAUGCCAUUAAAGGUUAGACGGCUCAAACUAACAAUGUCAUACUGGACAAAUCUGCAUGGGCAUGAUGCAACACACCCUGCAAAAAAGGUACUUGAAGAAUGUAUUCAUCCAAAAAUACAAAAUUAACAUCCAAAAAAGAAUUUCAGCUCACCUAUCAGUCGUCUUAGCUGAAAUAAUGGCCAUUAUUUUAGCACUACAGUGGGUAGAGGAAGUUAAGCAACAUAAGAUCAUCUGCUCAAAUACCAUGUCAAGUAUCUGGAGUGGAAAGUCUGUAGGAAGGCAAUAAGGCUUUUGGAUUAAAUAAAUCAAUUCAUUUUUAGACUAACUCAACAAAAUAUUUAUACACAGUUUACGCGGGUUCCAGCGCAUGUGGGUAUUGAGUGAAAUGAAAAGGUGGAUAAGUUGGCAAAAGAAGCCCUGAAGGCAGAACAUAUAGAUAUACAAAUAGCACUUAGUAAAUCAGAAAUUAAGACAAUAAAGACAAUAUUAAUAAAAUUUGGCAGGAUACAUGGGAUCAGGAGGAGAACAGAAAACAUUUGUAUAGCAUUCAGAAAGAAGUGAUAGUUAAAAAGUAUAGUAAUCUGAGGUGGCAGGAGGAAACUAUUUUAACAAGGCUGAGAAUAGGACACACAAGUUUUAAUAGUUGCUCAAGAUUAAUAGGAAAACACCAGACAGGAUUAUGCAUUGUGGAGAAGUGGAAAAUGCAAAACAUACUCUUGGUGUGUAGAAAAUACUCUGAAAAAAGAAUUGAUCUAGAAAUGGCAUGAAAUAAUGGAUUGAGCUUAAAAACCUAUUGAGUCUGCCUGGCACACAAUCGAUAAUUAAGGCUGUCAUGACCUGCGCAAAUCCACGUUCAUUAUUAGUGUGGAUUUGCGCAGCUUGUCAUUUAACAACGGCUCUGUGUAGUAAUAACUGCUCUAUGUGAAAUCACGCACGUGAUGGAAUUUACUGCUGAUUAGAGAACCGCCUUUACUGACGAGAUGCACAUUAAUUAUCGGCCGAUAUUUAUUGUGCACCCCUAUUUUACACUAAAGAAACAAGGCAUUUACAUUAAAUGAUAGAAUCUUGCAGUGUCAUAUUGUCAUUACAUAUGUGUGUUUUGCAUUUAUAUGCAGGUGAAGACUGUCUACUGUUGAGGGUGGGGGGCGUGCUAGUUCAUGCAUAUGUAAAGACAUUGCAGGACCAGAAGAAGACAACCAUUAUUUCAAGAAAUUGGCUCAAUGCAUGCUGUAACUGUUUUAAGGUGUUUCAGGAGGUUCAGGAAGAACCAGCGCACACUAUAUCCCACUGUGCAGAUUUUAGGAAGGUCUGACUGGACACAAGUCUUCAGUGAGAAGAGAAUCUUCAGAAUUGUAAAAAUGGAGGGAUCUGAAAUUUGCUGAGCAGUUGAGGUUGAGGAUGGUGUUUUUUUAAAUGUUAAAUAAAUGCAGGAAUGUUGUGUAAAAGGUGGGGGGAAAGGUUUUCUAGUUUUGUUACAUAAUGUAACAUUUUAGUGUAAUUGUAUUUUAAGUAAUGUAACAUUUAAUUUAAUUGUAUUAUGAAAUGUUUUGCAGCGUUUUUAUUUUUAUUUUUUAAGUGAUACUCCAUUUUUUAAAGUCUUUAUUGUAAUCUGGAAAAAUGCAUUUACACAAAGAAAUAUUUUACUGUUCAAC
ensembl:lncRNA